rnacentral:rRNA from 1 species
UGGCCCUGGCGGCGUGCCUAAUACAUGCAAGUCGAGCGGACCGACGGGAGCUUGCUCCCUUAGGUCAGCGGCGGACGGGUGAGUAACACGUGGGUAACCUGCCUGUAAGACUGGGAUAACUCCGGGAAACCGGGGCUAAUACCGGAUGCUUGAUUGAACCGCAUGGUUCAAUCAUAAAAGGUGGCUUUUAGCUACCACUUACAGAUGGACCCGCGGCGCAUUAGCUAGUUGGUGAGGUAACGGCUCACCAAGGCGACGAUGCGUAGCCGACCUGAGAGGGUGAUCGGCCACACUGGGACUGAGACACGGCCCAGACUCCUACGGGAGGCAGCAGUAGGGAAUCUUCCGCAAUGGACGAAAGUCUGACGGAGCAACGCCGCGUGAGUGAUGAAGGUUUUCGGAUCGUAAAACUCUGUUGUUAGGGAAGAACAAGUACCGUUCGAAUAGGGCGGCACCUUGACGGUACCUAACCAGAAAGCCACGGCUAACUACGUGCCAGCCGCCGCGUUAAAAUACCUG